AGUCAUUAUCGUUCAGAGAUGACUAGAAUGAGGGAGAACUGUAAAAUGAGACUUGAUGACUUGAAAAUGAGAAGCUAAAAACUUAAUUUCUAUCAUUUUCAGUAUUUUCUAUUUAACAAAUUUCUAUUAUGGAUUUGGACUGGAUUGAAAAGAAAUAAAUUGACUACUAUUUUGAACCCAGAGAAGACAACUGGAACAUACAACCUAUGGAUUUUGGAGGGUCAAACUUGCUGCAAAUUUGCUCAAGAACACCCUGUGGAGGAACACACUCUCUUGACGCAAGAGGCUGUGGCUGAUAAGCUGUCAUCUAGUCAAGCUCAGAUUUCCGUCCAAUGUAAGGAAAACUCUGAGGGUCAAGACGGAACAGUGCUGUUUGACACGGAAGCCUUUCCCAUGGCCAACAUCCACUGUCCUAGCAGUGUAGAAGAUCUUCCUGAAGGUCAAUGUAAACAGCAGUAGAUCUCUGCAGAUCUCCUCAUCAGUUAUUCGGGGAUAUUUCGAACAUAAAAUCAUCUUAACAAGAUUCUUUCUUUGUUUUCUGAAUAAUUUGGUCAUGAAAAUGUAAAAUGUUGAAUUAUUAAAAGUUAAAAAGAGCAGUUGGUUAUUUUUGUAAACCUGCGGUUUUGGUCUGUUGUCACGACUAGAACUCAUAUAAGACCACACACACAAACACACAGCAGUAUUGCUAGGCUUCCAGCGAGCGCCAUCAAACCUUCACAGAAGCACAC
rnacentral:lncRNA from 1 species